rnacentral:lncRNA from 1 species
UUCAAUUAGGUAUAGCACAACAAUUAAAGGUCUAUAAAAAUAAUCUCAUUAUCAAAAGGAGAUUUAGAUUGAAGAGUACUAAGUUUCAAAUUUUAGAAGUGCAAAAAAAUGAAGUCCAUAUAAGCACCUAUUUCUCUGUUUUUCAUCUUUGUAAUCCACUCGCGGAUAACAUCCUGCAAUGUCCUCCCCAUCUGCCUGAUACACCUUUCUGUGAUCUACAAUACAUGCAAAAUGUGAGUUCUCGUGGAUGGUUAAAUAUAUCAGAGCCAAAGCGUGGUCACAUUUGUCAAACUAGAAAUUUAGGCAAAUUCAGAGAAAAGCAAUG